AUAUAUGAAGUAAAAAAUUUACAUUUAAUUUCGACUUAAAAAUAAAUCAAUUGUGGUUCGUAUAUA
rnacentral:tRNA from 1 species